GUGACGGAGGCAAUCACCGGGCCGAUGCCUGACCCGCCGGGUGUGAAGCUACAGAAGGAGGGGCUAAGGGCGAGGCAUCCGGUGGUGUUCGUGCCGGGGAUUGUGACUGGGGGGCUCGAGCUGUGGGAGGGGCAUCAGUGCGCCGAGGGACUGUUUCGGAAGCGGCUAUGGGGAGGCACAUUCGGUGAUGUGUAUAAGAGACCUAUGUGUUGGGUGGAACAUAUGUCGCUGAACAAUGAAACAGGAUUGGAUCCUUCUGGUAUAAGAGUUAGGCCAGUUACAGGGCUUGUGGCCGCUGAUUAUUUUGCUCCUGGCUAUUUUGUCUGGGCAGUGUUGAUUGCUAAUUUGGC
rnacentral:misc_RNA from 1 species